AUGCAGUCGAGCGGUAGCACAGAGAGCUUGCUCUCGGGUGACGAGCGGCGGACGGGUGAGUAAUGUCUGGGAAACUGCCUGAUGGAGGGGGAUAACUACUGGAAACGGUAGCUAAUACCGCAUAAUGUCGCAAGACCAAAGUGGGGGACCUUCGGGCCUCAUGCCAUCAGAUGUGCCCAGAUGGGAUUAGCUAGUAGGUGGGGUAACGGCUCACCUAGGCGACGAUCCCUAGCUGGUCUGAGAGGAUGACCAGCCACACUGGAACUGAGACACGGUCCAGACUCCUACGGGAGGCAGCAGUGGGGAAUAUUGCACAAUGGGCGCAAGCCUGAUGCAGCCAUGCCGCGUGUGUGAAGAAGGCCUUCGGGUUGUAAAGCACUUUCAGCGGGGAGGAAGGCGAUAAGGUUAAUAACCUUGUCGAUUGACGUUACCCGCAGAAGAAGCACCGGCUAACUCCGUGCCAGCAGCCGCGGUAAUACGGAGGGUGCAAGCGUUAAUCGGAAUUACUGGGCGUAAAGCGCACGCAGGCGGUCUGUCAAGUCGGAUGUGAAAUCCCCGGGCUCAACCUGGGAACUGCAUUCGAAACUGGCAGGCUAGAGUCUUGUAGAGGGGGGUAGAAUUCCAGGUGUAGCGGUGAAAUGCGUAGAGAUCUGGAGGAAUACCGGUGGCGAAGGCGGCCCCCUGGACAAAGACUGACGCUCAGGUGCGAAAGCGUGGGGAGCAAACAGGAUUAGAUACCCUGGUAGUCCACGCCGUAAACGAUGUCGAUUUGGAGGUUGUGCCCUUGAGGCGUGGCUUCCGGAGCUAACGCGUUAAAUCGACCGCCUGGGGAGUACGGCCGCAAGGUUAAAACUCAAAUGAAUUGACGGGGGCCCGCACAAGCGGUGGAGCAUGUGGUUUAAUUCGAUGCAACGCGAAGAACCUUACCUGGUCUUGACAUCCACAGAACUUUCCAGAGAUGGAUUGGUGCCUUCGGGAACUGUGAGACAGGUGCUGCAUGGCUGUCGUCAGCUCGUGUUGUGAAAUGUUGGGUUAAGUCCCGCAACGAGCGCAACCCUUAUCCUUUGUUGCCAGCGGUUAGGCCGGGAACUCAAAGGAGACUGCCAGUGAUAAACUGGAGGAAGGUGGGGAUGACGUCAAGUCAUCAUGGCCCUUACGACCAGGGCUACACACGUGCUACAAUGGCAUAUACAAAGAGAAGCGACCUCGCGAGAGCAAGCGGACCUCAUAAAGUAUGUCGUAGUCCGGAUUGGAGUCUGCAACUCGACUCCAUGAAGUCGGAAUCGCUAGUAAUCGUAGAUCAGAAUGCUACGGUGAAUACGUUCCCGGGCCUUGUACACACCGCCCGUCACACCAUGGGAGUGGGUUGCAAAAGAAGUAGGUAGCUUAACCUUCGGGAGGGCGCUAC
rnacentral:rRNA from 1 species